CCUACGGGUGGCAGCAGUGAGGAAUAUUGGUCAAUGGGCGCAAGCCUGAACCAGCCAAGUCGCGUGAGGGAAGAUGGCCCUACGGGUUGUAAACCUCUUUUGCCGGGGAGCAAGCCUGAGCACGUGUGCCCCGGCGGAGAGUACCCGGAGACAAAGCCUCGGCUAACUCCGUGCCAGCAGCCGCGGUAAUACGGAGGUUGCGAUCGUUAUCCGGCUUUAUUGGGUUUAAAGGGUGCGCAGGCGGAAGAUCAAGUCAGCGGUAAAAUUGAGAGGCUCAACCUCUGCGAGCCGUUGAAACUGGUGUUCUGGAGUGAGUGAGAAGUAGGCGGAAUGCGUGGUGUAGCGGUGAAAUGCAUAGAUAUCACGCAGAACUCCGAUUGCGAAGGCAGCAUACCGGAGCGCAACUGACGCUCAUGCACGAAAGUGUGGGUAUCGAACAGGAUUAGAUACCCUUGUAGUC
rnacentral:rRNA from 1 species